UCAAAGCCAAACAAACCAGGGCAGGCGUAUAAGCUGAAACAAGGAGAAACAGAAAAAAUGCUUAUGUAGAAAAGCUCAGAGUCAGCAACGCGAUUCUCACAAUUCCGACAUCGCGUUUUGGAACAUCAACAUCAUUGCUUCCACCAUAUCGGCUCGCGGAGGUGCGUUCUUCAACACAACAGCGUAUCAAGCAUCGCGUUUGUGCGUCAAGGAUUCAGUAUCGUGUUAUUCAUCUUCUUCGCGUUCGAUUCAUGAAUUAUGAUCGAUAUCAUUCAUGGCAUUGCGUUCAAAAAUCAACGAUUCAAUUCGAACUAUUCAAGCCUCCCGAAUUCAACAACAAUAACUAAUUAAUCGUGGAUUAAAGCAAAACUCACCGGUUUUGACGCGGGGCAAAAACAGCUAUCGAUCCUAUAAGCUUCUUCUAAUUCACCUUCUACGAGCUUCUUCUGUUGCGUUGUUUGCUGUUUCUUGCAUGCGGAAGUUAAUUGGAGUUCACGAUCCAAAAUGGAGCAUCUUAAAAAUGGCAUGUGCUUGGAAGUGGACUUGAAGAGUUUAGCAUUUGUAGGUUUCUUUUGUAAAUUUGAAGAUUGUAAUGAACAAUGGAUAUUCAAGAAAAGAAUGACUUGUUACUUAAAUGAAAAUGGUUCAAUUUUGAAUUGAAAAUGUAUGGUGUUAUUUGAAUGUAAAAAAAUGUAGAAUUGAAAUGUGAAUGAAAUGAAAAUGCAAUUGGAAAUGUUGGAAAAGUUUGUUUAUGGUUUGACGAAAAUGAAAUUUGA